UGGGUAGUCCGCACGAGCGCACCCUAUCCUUAGUUGCUAGCAGGUAAUGCUGAGAACUCUAAGGAGACUGCCGGUGAUAAACCGGAGGAAGGUGGGGACGACGUCAAGUCAUCAUGGCCCUUACGUGUAGGGCUACACACGUGCUACAAUGGCGCAUACAGAGUGCUGCGAACCUGCGAAGGUAAGCGAAUCACUUAAAGUGCGUCGUAGUCCGGAUUGGAGUCUGCAACUCGACACCAUGAAGUCGGAAUCGCUAGUAAUCGCGUAUCAGAAUGACGCGGUGAAUACGUUCCCGGGCCUUGUACACACCGCCCGUCACACCAUGGGAGUGGGUUGCUCCAGAAGUAGAUAGUCUAACCCUCGGGAGGACGUUUACCACGGAGUGAUUCAUGACUGGGGUGAAGUCGUAACAAGGUAGCCCUAGGGGAACCUGGGGCUGGAUCACCUCCUU
rnacentral:rRNA from 1 species